rnacentral:lncRNA from 10 species
GUGGGGGUGGAAUGAGGGACGGGUACCGUGUUUGUUUGGAAACUAGGGAAUGCCCAUGGCUGAGGGCCCCAAAAGUUGGGGGUCAAGAUAUUUUCACUUAAAAGAAAAAAAGGAGAAUGAUGGGGAGAGAGGGUUAGUGAAGAACACAGACUGACAUCAACACUUGGCGGAAAUUUAACCUAACAAAAAACAACUCUAAACAGUCUAACAUAAAUUUCUCUAAUUCAUAAAAGCUCUACUUUUUUUUUUUUGCUUCAAAAGCUUCUUCACAAAUUAAUACUUGAUCAUGAAAUGAUUUUCUAAACGUAAUUAUAGUGCAAGGCAUGAAGCCUGGCUUUGUUGCGAGAGCUCUUGCAAUAACUGAUUUCCAAAUCUAAACAACUGCUCCAUCCACCUCAGACAAUGAGAAAAUGUCUUUUCUUUCUACUAGGCCUAGUGAAUAUUCAAGUAUUUUUCAUCUAAGAUUUGGGGAAAUAAGCAAGCAAGGCUAAUAAAACUCAGGGACAGUCUUGUGAAUUGCUUUACUGACUGGUUAGGCAAAUCUGUUUGUAUAAGAAAUCAACCAUCAAAACUUUUCAGCUAAAUCACUUUUCAACUGAAGUUCUUUGAAAAUGAGAAGUGAAUAAUGACCCAUAACUUUUACUCACAACAUUGAUACAGUUUUAAAAACCACUAAAAGCAGAAAAAAACUAAGCUUAAAUGUCUUGUGCGUCGAAAGAUGCAUUUAUUUUGUUUAAAAAUUUUUUUGAGACAGGGUCUCACUCUGUCACCCAGGCUGGAGUGCAGUGGCCCAAUCACAGCUCACUGUAGCCUUGACCUCCUGGCUCAAGCAAUCCUCCUGCCUUGGCCUCCUGAGUAGCUGGGACUAUUCAGGUGCAUGCUACUACACCUGGCUAAUUUUUUAAAACUUUUUUGUUGAGAUGGGGGUUCCAUUAUGCUACCCAGGCUGGUCUUGAACUCCUGAGCUCAAGUGAUCCUCCCACUUAGGCCUUCCAAAGUGCUGGGAUUACAGGCGUAAGCCAUGGCGCCUGGUGCAACAUGCACUUACCAAACUCUGCAAGCCUCUCUGAGAGCAAAGACACUUCAAAUUUAGACCCAUUAUUACUAUUGCACAUGUGGUGUCAUUUUCAUUUUUGGUCUAGGCACCUAAACUGCAGCUUUUCAAAAUAAAAUGGGAACUUAGACCACUAUAUUUACUUUUAAAAAAUAAUUUCUCUUAAUGAAUAAAGGGCAGGAAUGUUGCCCAAUCCCUUACCUUUCCCCUCACUCUACCCCCAGAAGCAGUGUUCAGUCUUUAUGAAGAGAAAAUUAAUAACCUAGGGCAAUCUUAACCUGUUAGCUCGGAGGAGCUAUGAACCCCUGAAAUGGGUGCGGGGUUUUGUACAUGUACAUUUUCCUGAGAGAAAGAUGCCCAAUUUUUCUCAUAUUUCCAGAUGGGCCAGUGACCAAUUUCGGUUUGGACCACUGUAGGGCUACUAAUAUGGAUGUGAGAUGAGGACCUGAAAUAUCAAGUACAAAAUAAAAUUUUAAGCUAGAAUUUCUUUUUCAAAAAGAAAACAAGCUUAUAUGGCCUCAAAUUGUCAUCACUGUUUACAUGUGAGCAAUAUUUGUUGUUAAGUUGAACUUUAAAAAAGGAUAAUCAGAUGAUGAAUUAGGAAGACCCAAGAUAAUUGUGUCUUUGUGGAGAAAUUUAUAAAGAAACAAGAAAAACAAAGUUACCUCACAAAAAGAAUUUCAGAAAUUAUCCCCAAGGGACCCUAUAUGUUGAGGCUACAGAAAGUAAAAGAAGAGUAUUUUCUAAAACAAGUACUCAGAAAAGUCUUCAGUACCUAAUUAAAACAGUUCUCUGCGUGUGUGUGGUUUUUAAAAUUUUUAAUGCAUUUACUCUUUGGACAUAAGGGUAUCUGUAAAGCAAAAGCUAAAAACAGUAUUAAGACUGUCAGAAUCCAGCUCUCAUGUUAUGGAAACAUGAGUUAGAUGGCAAAUGUCCAACAAUCACCUUUUACAGAUUUAAAUAAACAAAGGCUCUGUAUAGUGAUUUUACAAAAACUUAACACGGGCACUCUUAAGGAAAUCCUUUAGCACAAAACUCAGUAAGGAAAUGGAAACUGGCAUUAUAUGUGUUAUGACUGGGCCAAAGAUCUUUUUUCCCCUCCUAUAUUUACAACUAUUCAUUUACAUCAAAUAUGACAAACUUUCUCCAAUGUAUAAGUGACCAUAAUUUUUCUUUUUUAAAAAAUUAAAGUCAAUGAAAGACAAAGUCACUUUGUCUUAAAUUUUAAGAAUUACAUGGUCUAUUCAUCUAACUUUUUUAAUUAAGAAGAGAGAAUAUUUUCUAUAUUUGGCUAAUAAGUUUUGCUAAUAAUUUUUAGUUAACAAAUUUUUAAAAAAGCACAACCCAACAGAGAUUCUUUGGUUCUACAGAAAGUCUGUAUCCACCCCCGUAGGGGUGGGAGAGAUGAAGGAGGAAGAGGAGAGACAAAGAGAAAAACAUUAAAAGGGGAAAAAGCAAGUUGGACAAUAUGCCUCAGGUAAGACAAACACAAAGAUGGGGAAAGAGGUGGUAACGGACCAACAGGGACCAUCUUCUAUGAGCAACAAGCUUCCAUGAGCCUGGUAACCCUCCAGGCAAUGCAGCUAAAGCCUUGCACAGCUGAGUGACAUUCUGGUACCACAGUCAUAGCUGGGACACCCUCCUGGUGCUUGUCCUGACCUUGUCCAGGCUGCAACCUCCCUUUCUCUGAUUACUUGAUCCUGCUCAGUUCUGGGAGAGCCUUGGAGCCUUAGCUCCUCAGAGACAGUGUGUCUAGGGGGACUGACCCAAUGCCCGGGGUAUGGCACUCCUCAAAACCCUUGAGCACCACACGGAAGCUGUGUGAGGCUGGACCCAGUAAGGAGGGAAUCCGAUCAUAUAACCUUGACUACUGAGAGUUUUCUUCUUCCAUGUUUCUCUUCUGGGGUCUUGGAAAGCAAUUCCACAUAGCAAACAAAAAUGACGCAUUAUCUUUCAGCUGGAAAAAGGCCAACAAUGGAGUUGAUUCUUUGACAAUAUCAACAGAGUGCUCUUAAAGACUAAGUCUCAGGGGCUGGGUAUGUCCCUACCAGGGGACUUUCUCUACAAUGCUAAGAAAAUCUCUACGAAGUGGUAGCAAAAUGCAAAGCAGGGGGCAAGAGUGGAGGGUUGAACCUGCUGAGAACUGGGUAGAGAGGAAAAGCACUAAAACAUUCCACAGUGGCAGUGACAGAAGCUAAAAUCAUAUCAUCUCUGUGUGCACUUGAGAAGUUCUGAAGCUAAUACAAUGCAAUGGUUUGAAUGUCUGUCCACUACAAAACUCGCAUCGAAAUUUAAACACCAAUGUUGCAGUAUUCAGAGGUGGGGCCUUUAAGAGGCGCUGCCCUCAUGAGUGGAUUAAUUCACCCAUGGAUUCAUGGGUUAUCAUGAGAGUGGGACUGGUGGCUUUAUCAGAAGAGGAAGAGAGACCUGAGCUGGCAUGCUCAGCUCUCUCACCAUGUCAUGCCCUGCACCCACUCAGGGCUCUGCAGAGAGUCCCCACCAGGAAGAAGGCCCUCAUCAGAUGCAGUCUCUCGGCCUUGGACUUUUCAGCCUCUAUAACCAUAAGAAAUACAUUCCUUAUCUUUAUAAAUUACCCAGUUUCAGGUAUUCUGUUAUAAGCAUCAGAAAAUGAAUAAAGACACAUUGCCUGCUGGAAUGCUGGGGUUCAAAUUCUGCCUCUGUUCUUACUUGCUCUUUGACCUCAACUCCCUCCCAUAUCAAACAGGACUAAGAAGGCCUCCCAUCAAUGUGCAGACAAAGUGAGAUUCAGAAUGUUAGCUCUUAGCACAGGGACUGGCUGCCCGAGGGUGCCCUGCAAAUGAGUUUCCUUACGAUCUAGUCUUUCCACGAAAGAAAAAGCAGUUUGGGGAAUACAAAGGGUUACGAAUCAUGUCUCUCAAUGCCAUUUUGUCAAGGCUUGACCCUUGAUUAAGUGUGGCCUUGAUAGUAAAUGGCAGAAAACCUGGAAUUCCAAGGACUACGGCAGGCAAUGUCAGUGAGUGUUUUAUCAAUUUAUAUGUGUACAGUUUUUCUUUCUUUUUAAGACAGGGCCUUGCUCUGUCACCAAGGCUGGAGUGCAGUGGCAUGAUCUCACUGCAACCUCCACCUCCUGAGCUCAACUGAUCCUCUCACCUCAGCCUCUCAAGUUGCUGGGACUACAGGGCAUGCAUCACCAUGCCAGCUAAAUUUUGUAUUUUUAGUAGAGAAAGUCCUGGGCUCAAGCCAUCUGCCCACCCUAUCAGAAGAUUACAGCAUUAUGGUUUAAUCACACAAACAUAAUUCAGAGAAGUUAAAAAAAAAUCAAACUAGUAAACUGGUUUGUGCAAUUAAAUCAGUCUCUGUGAGCAGCAGUGCAAUGCAGAAACUACAAUGUAGAGGGGGCCAGGAGAAUGAGGGCUCUAGGGCUGGCUUUGUCAUUGCAACAGAUCAACUAACAGCUUCCUUGGCUAUGCAGCUGAUUUAUUUUUUCAUUCAGCAAAUAGUUAAUGAAUGUCGUCAUGUACUGGGCCCUGUGCACAGGAUGAGGAGAACAGGUCCCGGCCACCAAGGAGCUUCCUAGUGGGAAAGUGACAUACCACAGGUAACAACACUACAAUGGGACAUGAUAGAAUACAGGGCUUUCAAAGCAAUGGGGUAAGAGCAGUAGCUCUGGGGAGACAAUGGGGUGAGGCCAAAUAAUUUUUGAGGAAGGGACAUGCAAAUAAAAAUAGGGAGGCUAUAGUCAUUAGAGGACCUGCUGUCCUACUUACUCAGCGUAAAUCACUUGGAGAGCUUAUGCAAAGGUUCCCAGGCCCCAUCCCAUUCUGUGAUCCCCAGAGGUUCUCCUGGCACCAUUCCUCGGCUCACUGGCUGAGAAAUACGGCCUGCACAUUCAACAGGCCCUGCUCCAAGAUUCCUUCCAGCACUCAAUGUCAUGAUUACUUGACUGAGUGAAGAAGUUCAGAAAAAUGACGGCAGAACGGCCCUUUUAUGUUGUCAUCUUAUUUCUACAUGUAUAUGAGAAUACACAGGCUUAAGGUAUUCCACUGGGCACCCUCCUGGGGGGGUUAGGCUCUCAUGACGCCCGUGAGGCUGUGAGCACUUCAUAAGAACAGGCUGAUUUAGGACCAAGAGGAAACCACAGUUUGAGCAACAAUUCAUUUUCUCGAGCUUCAGACCCGCCUUCUCCAUACUUUCUUCUGUAGGAAGACCAAAACACCUUCAUUUGAAAAGAUGGGAAGACUUGGCCACAAGCCAAUGGAUAUUCAUAAAAAUAUUUUGUGUGGCUCUCCGUUCUCUCUAAAAUUCAAUAUCCAAGCAGUCUGCAAGGUAAUUUGGAACAAAUAAAUGGUUUGGGCGGGGAGGAGCACCACGUGCUAAAUUUCAGCAGCAAAUGCUUCCUGGCCAGUUUAUAAACUUUCAAAAAUACUGCUGGCAUAUGCAGCGGAAACAUUAUCCACUGCGCUUAACACCUCCCAAGUGAACUUUGGAAUGUGAAAUGUAAAAUUUUCAAACUGUAAGGAAGCCUUCAGUUCUAAACUUUUGUGAAGCCUAGUCAACAGAUUUAGCACUUAGUUAUUUGAUUCUUUUUUUUUUUUUGAAGCCAGCUCAGAAAAAAGCUGAAUAAAAUAUGCAUUUCUAACACAACAUAUUACAAGCUUCUUCUGUCCCUUAAGAUUUUGCUCUCUUCUCAUGCUUUGAAAUUGGUUGAAAUAGAUUCUAUUUAGGAACCAAAGAAAUGGUGUUAGAAAAAUAAUCAUUUCUCUUCAACUGUCAUUAGCACCUGAGACAAUGAUAUUAAGAAAGGUCAUUUUCUAGAAGGCUCCAUAUGUGACAUAGCCUCCCUUAGGGUGAGUUAAAGGGAUUCAAGAGUCUCCAAGCCUCCCAGACAUAUGAUAUUGUGAAGUUCGGGGUGGAAAUAGGGGCCAGGAGACCUGAACUCAAGCUUGACUCUACCAUGUAUUAGCUGUGUGUCUUGCCCAAACUCCUCAACCUCUCUGUCUCUCAGUGUCAAAUGUAAAAUGAGAAAGACAACUAUAGUACCAGAUACAUAAGGAUUUUGGUGUGUUUUUUGUUUGUUUGUUUGUUUUAAGAGACAGGGUUUUACCCUGUUAUCCAGGCUGGAGUGCUAUGGUGUGAUCAUAGCUCACCUGCAGCCUCAAAUUUCUGGGUUCAAGUGAUCUUCCUGCCUCAGCCUCCUAAGUAGCUUGGGCUACAGGCACAUACCACCACACCUGGCUAAUUUAAAAUCUUUUUUUUUUUGUAGAGAUGGGGUCUUGCUAUGUUGUCCAGGCUGCUCCUCAACUCCUGGUCUCAAGUGAUUCUCCUGCCUAGGCCUCCCAAAGAGCUGGGAUUACAGGCGUGAGCUGCAGCACCUGACCACAUAAGGGUUUUAUGGGGAGUAAAGAGUUAAGGCAUUAGGCUGGACUGUAAAUAUUUGAUUUCUCUUAGUGCCUCUGGUUUAAUAUUGGUGACAGGGUCUGCACAUCAGCGUAUGUGGCAGGCUAAGUCUUUUCCCCAGUUCUCCUAUUCCUCUUCUAUCUGCUCAACUCUUUGCCUCUAUGACUUAUUUAUUUCCUUUUAAAUCUGCUUGGUUCUUUGACUUAACGGAGGACCUUAUGUAGGGGGAGAAACACGUGUAUUAUGGGAACAACUGAAAGGUCAGCCUGAAGACUUUUGCCCUGUUGCUUUCUGAGAGUGCUGGAUAUGAGUCCCUGUCUCUGAAACUUCUAAAAAUAUGCACCUUUAACCAGCUUCCACGGAGGGAUAAGCCUUUGUCAAUACAAAUGGUACAGUGAGCAGCAGAAGAGAGGAAUGGAACUGAUAGAAGGUGGAGAUUCUCAGAGUCCUCGGGCUCUAGAGUCCUGGGGUCUGGAGUCAGGGAACUGGAUACAUCCCACCCUAACCCCAGCUGAGGGACACUUAACUCAUUGAGUCUCAGUUACCUCUUUCCUUAAAUGGAGAACAUACCAGCUGACUUUUCUGCCUCAGGAGACUCCUGAGAAGAUCAGAUGAAAUGAUGUCUAGGAAAAUACCCUGAAAACCACAACAGAUUUUUAAGAGCAGUGAGGAGGCCGAGCAGCGGGGCUGUUGGGGGGGAACACUGAACUCCAGGGCAGGAGGUGCCAAGGGUGUGCCCUUCUGAGCCUGGGAGGGGCCCUGGGCAGUAGUUAGCAAGGGGUACGAUGCAGGCACAGAGAGGGGAAAGAGUAGGCAAAAAUGGGCUCCAGGAAGGGGAGAGAUGCACUCUGCUACCUGGCAGUUUUCCCCAGAGCCAGCACCCACCUGUGCUGCAUUCUUCCCAAGACUUCUGCCCAAAUCACGGAAACAAAAGGCUAACGUGUUAAUCAAAGAAAUACAACUCUGAGCUCCGUAAGCCUCAGGAUGCCCUCCUUGGAGUCCACACACCCCCGCCUGGGCCUCUGCAGGCAGCCUUUACAAAGGACUUCACCACUGCCAGAUGCAGAGGACUGGAGAUUCAUGGCACAAAAACUGUCUCUCAAAGUCAGUCCAAUCUCCCCAAUCUGGGACAGUGAGGAAGCAGAGCAGGUUGAAAUCUCAAAGCCAGGGGAGCUAAGUGAGAAGACCUCUGACCUAGGAUCUGGGAGGAUUCAGGAACUCUGAGCUCUAGGCCCAGAGCUGCCACCGGUCACUGGCCUCUCUACAACCUCAGUGUCCCUGUCUGUAACAUAUGAAUGCUGGCACCAAAUGGUGCCUUCACACCCUGGUGUUCUCUGGCUAUAGGGCACUCUCUGGCUGGGAAGAUGGCUAAAGGUUUGGAAUAGGGAAAUGAAAAUGGUUAUAGGCUUGGAAUAGAGGAAUGGAGAAAGAUUCUUGCCAACUGAGAUGCCAAGAGAAAAGGUGUACAAAUAAGAAAGGGAGAGCACGUCUGUGCCUUAGUGAGAACAGAGAUUGAUCCUGGCCGGCUCAGCUUCUAGGAGGCCCCCACUGUGGUACAGGGGGAAUCCCAGGAUCCAACUGGGUGGGGACAGGAAGAGGACUCCUCUCCAUACCAAACUCCUUGAGGGCUGAGACGGUGUUGGUUCAUCUUUAUCCCCCAGCACACCUAAUGCAAGAUGAACAAAAGGCUGAACAAAAAUUGCCCAGGGAGUAGGAAUUAUUAUGCUUCAAUAAAAAGUUGUUAAAACUGCCCAGUGAUAAGCAACAAAGCCCUAUAUGGGGUUCAGCAGUCCUGAAGCAUGUGCCUGAUGACCACGGCAUGGCACAGGUAAACCAAAGUCCUUGCCUACCAAUGAGGGUAUGGCUGCCCCAGCCCAUCACUUUCAAGUUGGAGAAUCUGAGGUCCAGGCUGGGUAAAUGAGAGGCCAAAGCCCUCUAACAGCAGGAAUGUGAUGAGAAUAUAAGGCUUACCACCUCCCAGAGAAGAACAAGUACAUAAUCAAAGAUUUAGGAAAUAAGACAUUGUCUACUUUUAAAAACAGGAAGGGUGAUAUCUAUUGCAAACAGAUAAAGAAGCUUCCACAGUAGUUCUAAUGCCCUCAUGCCUCAAGGCAAAAGAAGAUGGGCUUGUUCAAAGAACCAAGGACUGUGGUCAGAAAGGGGCAGAAAUGCCUGGGUGUCAGGGGUCAAAAGAAGUCAUUACUUAAUUGUGACCUUCUCCAACUCUAAUUCUCUUGAACAGUUUGCUUUCGGGAUUCACAAAAGUUCACUGUGGGGAUCCUUAUACUAAUAAACACCACAAUGACAUUUUUUUAAUGCCUCAAUUCUUUGUUUAAACAUCCAGAUUUCUUCCUCAGGGACAGCAGAAAUUUAUGCUGUUAAUCGUUUCUAAAAUAAUGUCACUUCUACUAAAUAAACAGAUUUUUUAAAAUAGAAAUUAAGCAUCUGAGGGCUCUCAGGGUUAUUCUUGCAGACAUUCCCUCCACGCUAUCAAACGAGCCCAAGGCUAAUAAGAUACGCAGUAAUUAUAAUACGUCUGGCCAAGAGAUGUUCUUCUGUGUGUAAAUAUUUUAUGGAGCCAGCACCAUGCAAUGGUACCUGCAGAGUAAAGUACUGCCUCAGUGAGCCCUAGGGAAUCUUAACCACUUCUCAUUAAUCAGCCCCUCUUGCUUUCUGUACCUGGAAUGCUGUUUCAAGAGACCAAAAGCCAUUAAAAAAUAAAAACAUCCCUGAAAGAUGGAUAUUAACACUAUUUACUAAGAGGAAGCAUUACUGAGAUUUCAAAUGCAACAUGCACAAUAAUCAAAAAGCUUACCUUGAUGACCUGUUGGGGCAGAAGCAACCAGUGUAAAGAGAAACCACAAGUUACAUCUAUUCUACUAAGCUGGUAAAAAGACACUCCGUUUUACCUCGUUCUCUGGGGUGGGAGAUGGCGUUACAGAACUAAGUGACCCUUUCCUAGAACCCUGGAGAUCUGCUGGGAUGGAGACGGGCCGUUCCCACUGAG